rnacentral:lncRNA from 1 species
GUGGAUAUACAUUGGAACAAUCAGGAAUCAUCAAAGUGUUUUUCACAGUGGCUGUGCCAUUUGACAUUCCCACCAUCAGUGUACAAGGGUAUGGUAGCUUAUUUUUAUGACUUACGUAGGUAUCAGACAGGAUUUGGUGAGGAACACAGAAGCCACUGUAUGUUCUGCACAUAAAGGGUUUAAAAGUCAAGCAGGAGCUUAUACACAAGUUAGAAGACUUAGGAGACUGCAGAUGAGAGAAGCUGCUGCCAGCAUUUGGGGAAUUGUCCCUGAAAGUCAAAGGAGUUACCCUGAAAUCUCAGCCUGCAGCCCCAAAGCAGCUGGUUUUUAAAAGCUUGCCUAGAAUUCUUGAGAUUCCCGAGGAGCCCCCAACACCAACCGUCUCAGCCUGCAAUGAUGAGGGGCUUGCCAGGAAUCCGCAGGGAAUCUCUCAUCUGUCCACACAUCCAGCUGCAACCAUCUCUGAAGACUGAUGGCUUCCACUUCCUUUCAGCCUUCCAAAUAUCAUACAAGUUCCUCUCAUUAAAAAAAAGCAAACAUAUACAGAAGGGGGUCUUGGGAAGCACAGUUCCCAUUCUUAGAAGGGAGAGGUAGUGGUGCCUGCUGACAACAGCACACAUUAUACUCUUCUUUAUUCUAGAAGGCAUUCCAGGGAUCUUAUAACGAUGCAUCAAAUUUGACCAACAGAAAUUUGACAGCAUACAUUAUACUCUUCUUUAUUCCAGAAAGCAUUCCCAGACAGCUUAUUACGAUGCAUAACAUUUGACUAACAUAAAUUCAAAGUCGAGCAAAUGAAGGCAAAAAGGCAGAAGGGAAGAGUGAAAAUGGACCCAGAAAUAGGGCGAAGCAUGUCUGCCACACUCGUCUACCUGCUGACCAUGGGUGAACCUCAUGGUGAGCUGUUGACCACAGGAUUCACCACAGAAUUCACUCUCCAGAAGACAAAAACUGCUGUGGAGAUUGGAAAAUUUAUCUUAAAAUAUUAAGGUCAGACAAGAACCUCUGUCAAGGAACAGGAAGUCGUGCCCUGAGGAGACAAGUAGAGGCUGUAGCCAUGGGUGGCUUUGGGGUAGUAGCUGUUGGCUGUGCCUAGAAGGACAUCAUGAAAGUUGUAAGUGCUGCUAAUUGACGUCCCCCAAUUCAUAUGCGGAAGUCCUGGCCCCUAGUACCUCAAGAUGUGCUUGGUUUUGGAGCUGGGGUCUUUAAAGAGGUAAUUCAGUUAAAAUGAGGUUGUUAUUAUGGGCCCCAAUCCAAUAUGACUGUUGUUUUUAUAAGAAGAGCUGAUUAGGACACAGACAUGUAGAGGAAAGACCAUGGGAAGAUUCAGGGAGAAGGUGGCCAUCUUCCAACCAAGGAGAGAUGGGCCUGAAGAGCCCAGCCCUGCUGACACCUCGAUCUUGGACUUCCCGGCCUUCAGAACUGUGAGGAAAUAAAUUUCUGUUGUUUAAGCCACCCAGCCUGUAGUACUAUGUCAUGGCAGCCCUAGCAAACUAAUGUCCCCCCCACAUCUAAAAUUGGCAUCAUUUAUGGAGAUGGAGUUGAGCCCAGAUUUCUCUUGGGGGAACAUUGUCUUUGGUUUCUAAUUUGACAAAUGUUUACUGAGUGUAGA